AAAAAUCUCCUUUUAAUAAAAAGACAAAAUAAUCUAUAACCAUGGGAUUUGGAAGGAUAUGAUUGUAUUUUUGCUUAAGAAUGACAUGUCAUAAUCUUUUUAAUUGAUGAUGUGUUUAAGUGACAUAACAUGCCACCUAAAAUUAAGGCAAAAAAUAUGAGGCCUUAUUAAAUCCAAGAAUCAUUUUCCUAUGAUGUAAUGUCCAAUAAACUUACGUUUAUGUUCACAAAACUUGAAGAAAUUGUUGAUAAGUUAGGGCAUGGCUGACUCAAUGGUAGAGAAGGUUUUGAGGCUUUAAGUUUAACAAAAAGAGAAGAUCGACUUGAAUUUUCAAGAAAAAAUUAGUAAGUAAAACAUGAAUUCUCUCCUACAUAGUACGUACUACUAAAGUAUGCAAUCGAUAAAUUAAUCUUAAGAGAGUGAAAUUCGUACUUCUCAUACGACUAUGGAUUACAAAAUGUAGAUUGUGAUGAAGGAUUAAUGGUAGAGAUAAAGAGAUAGCAAGAGAAUCAUCAUCUUAUUCAUUGAUAGGAGCCCUUUAUAUAGGGAAUUACACAAUACUAAUAUGGUAAGGAUAUGAAUACAUAGAUCUAGUCUAACUACAUAUCCUAUUGGCAUAAGGCCAAGGCACACAUAGAGAAUAUCCUAAAACAUUCCCCCUUGUGCCGCGCGCUGAUAUGCCGAUGGUGCUGAUCUGUUGCCUCGUCAAAAACCUCGUCAAGUCACAAAAACCCUGUGGGAGAAAAACUGAACCUUGAUCGUAGGAGAAAAAGAGUACAACGCACCCUUCACAUUUGAUAGUGACAUGUAUGUAUGUGCUAGACUCCCCCUGAAGUUCGCACCCCCCCUGAUCUUUACAUCAAUCAUAGGGCUCUUCCUGAUUCUUACUAAUCACGGAAGUUUCAACAAUUUAGCAUGUCAAUGCUUUUUAACAUGUCUUCAAAUGUGGCAUUGAACAAUGAUUAACUAAAUCAUGCCGUAUUGUCCUCAAAUGAUCUUUUACACUUAGAUCUUGAGGAGAAGGUCGCUUGUGAACUCAAAACAUAAGUUCGUGCAGGAAAUCAGAUUUCCGCGCAGCAUGACCUUCAAUUACUAGAACAGUCAUAACUUC
rnacentral:lncRNA from 1 species